rnacentral:tRNA from 1 species
AGCGGCCUUUUUGCGGUUUUGCAGCGGCCUGCAAAGCCGUGUAGGUCGGUUCGACUCCGAUCCUCGCUC